rnacentral:rRNA from 1 species
GAUGAACGCUGGCUGCAUGCUUAACACAUGCAAGUCGAGCGGACAGAAGAGAAGCGUUUUUUUCUGAUGUCGUCGGCGGACGGACGAGUGACACACGGAUAACCAACCUAUAUGUCACGGAUAACUACCGGAAACCGGAGCUGAUUCCUGCUAAUAUUUUGCACCGCAUGGUUCACAACUGCAAUACGAUCUUUCUGUCGCUUAUGGAGGGAUUCGCGCUGCUUAGGCUAUUUGGUAAGGUAACGGCUAACCAAGGCAAGGAUGCAUAGCGGACCUGAGAGGGUGAGAAGCCACACUGGAAUUGAGACACGGUACAGACUCCUACGGGAGGCAGCAGUAGGGAAUCUUCCACAAUGGGCGAAAGCCUGACGGAGAAAAGCCGCGUGAGGGAUGAAGGUCUUCGGAUCGUAAAACUCUGUUAUUAGGGAAGAACAUAUGUGUAAGUAACUGGGCACAUAUUGAAGGUACCUAAUGAAAAAGCCACGGCUAACUACGUG